rnacentral:rRNA from 1 species
CCUACGGGAGGCAGCAGUGGGGAAUAUUGCACAAUGGGGGAAACCCUGAUGCAGCGACGCCGCGUGAGCGAAGAAGUAUUUCGGUAUGUAAAGCUCUAUCAUCAGGGAAGAAAAUGACGGUACCUGAGUAAGAAGCUCCGGCUAAAUACGUGCCAGCAGCCGCGGUAAUACGUAUGGAGCAAGCGUUAUCCGGAUUUACUGGGCGUAAAGGGAGCGUAGGCGGCCUGCCAAGUCUGAUGUGUAAUACCGGGGCUCAACCCCGGGGCUGCAUUGGAAACUGGCAGGCUGGAGUGCCGGAGAGGCAGGCGGAAUUCCUAGUGUAGCGGUGAAAUGCGUAGAUAUUAGGAGGAACACCGGUGGCGAAGGCGGCUUACUGGACAGUGACUGACGUUGAGGCUCGAAAGCGUGGGGAGCGAACAGGAUUAGAUACACGUGUAGUC